CGGUGGAGGUAUGUGGUUUAAUUCGAUGCAACGCGAAGAACCUUACCUGGUCUUGACAUUCCGGAGACCCUUAGGAAACUAGGGGUGCUUCCAUCUGGAAGAAUCUGGAGACAGGUGCUGCAUGGCUGUCGUCAGCUCGUGUCGUGAGAUGUUGGGUUAAGUCCCGCAACGAGCGCAACCCUUGCCUUUAGUUGCCAGCAGUUCGGCUGGGCACUCUAAAGGGACUGCCGGUGUUAAACCGGAGGAAGGUGGGGAUGACGUCAAGUCCUCAUGGCCUUUAUGACCAGGGCUACACACGUACUACAAUGGCCGAUACAAAGGGCAGCGACACUGCGAGGUGAAGCCAAUCCCGUAAAAUCGGUCUCAGUCCGGAUUGGAGUCUGCAACUCGACUCCAUGAAGUUGGAAUCGCUAGUAAUCGUGGAUCAGCAUGUCACGGUGAAUACGUUCCCGGGCCUU
rnacentral:rRNA from 1 species